rnacentral:rRNA from 1 species
GGGGAAUAUUGCACAAUGGGGGAAACCCUGAUGCAGCGAUGCCGCGUGAAGGAAGAAGAUUUUCGGAUUGUAAACUUCUAUCAGCAAGGAAGAAAACGGACAGUACUUGACUAAGAAGCCCCGGCUAACUACGUGCCAGCAGCCGCGGUAAUACGUAGGUCACAAGCGUUGUCCGGAAUUACUGGGUGUAAAGGGAGCGCAGGCGGGAAGACAAGUUGGAAGUGAAAUCUAUGGGCUCAACCCAUAAACUGCUUUCAAAACUGUUUUUCUUGAGUAGUGCAGAGGUAGGCGGAAUUCCCGGUGUAGCGGUGGAAUGCGUAGAUAUCGGGAGGAACACCAGUGGCGAAGGCGGCCUACUGGGCACCAACUGACGCUGAGGCUCGAAAGUGUGGGUAGCAAACAGGAUUAGAUACCCUGGUAGUCCACACCGUAAACGAUGAUUACUAGGUGUUGGAGGAUUGACCCCUUCAGUGCCGCAGUUAACACAAUAAGUAAUCCACCUGGGGAGUACGACCGCAAGGUUGAAACUCAAAGGAAUUGACGGGGGCCCGCACAAGCAGUGGAGUAUGUGGUUUAAUUCGACGCAACGCGAAGAACCUUACCAAGUCUUGACAUCCCUUGACAGGCAUAGAAAUAUGUUUUCUCUUCGGAGCAAGGAGACAGGUGGUGCAUGGUUGUCGUCAGCUCGUGUCGUGAGAUGUUGGGUUAAGUCCCGCAACGAGCGCAACCCUUAUGGUCAGUUACUACGCAAGAGGACUCUGGCCAGACUGCCGUUGACAAAACGGAGGAAGGUGGGGAUGACGUCAAAUCAUCAUGCCCUUUAUGACUUGGGCUACACACGUACUACAAUGGCGUUAAACAAAGAGAAGCAAGACCGCGAGGUGGAGCAAAACUCAGAAACAACGUCCCAGUUCGGACUGCAGGCUGCAACUCGCCUGCACGAAGUCGGAAUUGCUAGUAAUCGUGGAUCAGCAUGCCACGGUGAAUACGUUCCCG